rnacentral:misc_RNA from 1 species
UCCGGCUUGACGCCGGCAGUCCCCCGAGAGUCCUCAGCUUUACCUGUUAGUAACACGGGGCAAGGGUUGCGCUCGUUGCGGGACUUAACCCAACAUCUCACGACACGAGCUGACGACAGCCAUGCAGCACCUGUGUACUUGUUCCGAAGAAGGGCCCCUGUUUCCAGAAGCUUUCAAGUACAUGUCAAACCUAGGUAAGGUGGGGAUGACGUUGCUGUACCAUAG